rnacentral:rRNA from 1 species
AUGGAUAGCGGCGCUGUGGAACCAGCUUCAACGGGAGCAAUCUGGUCAACACCGUCAGUGGAGCCGAGAAGCAUUUCCAUCGGGAAGCAGAUAUUCUGCAACAGGUCUCUCAACAUGAGGAACAUCACCGCAGUAGGAUUUGAUAUGGACUACACUCUUGCGCAGUACAAGCCCGAGACAUUUGAGGCCCUUGCUUACCAUGGCACCAUUGAGAAGCUCGUGAAGGAUCUCAACUACCCUGAGGAGCUGUUGACAUGGCAAUUUGACUGGAAGUAUAUGGUCAGAGGACUAGUGCUUGAUAAGAAAAGAGGAAAUAUCUUGAAGAUGGAUCGGCACAAGUAUGUAAAAGUUGCAUACCAUGGAUUUAGGGAGAUGUCGAAGGAAGAAAAAGUUGCUGCUUAUGGGAGUACAUUGAUAAGGGAUUCCUUUGAUGAACCUGAUUAUGCCCUUAUAGAUACACUUUUCUCACUGGGUGAAGCCUAUCUGUUUGCUCAGCUUGUUGAUUUCAUGGACAGCAAUCCUGCAAAAGUACCUUCAGGCACUGACUAUGCGCUUAUGUAUAGAGAUGUGAGGUCUGCGGUUGAUCUGUGUCAUCGUGAUGGAACUUUAAAACGAAUGGUUGCAAAGGAACCUAGCAGGUAUAUCAAUGAAGACUUGGCAAUUGUGCCGAUGCUUCAAAUGCUUAGAAAAUCUGGACGCUCCACGUUCUUGGUGACAAACAGUUUAUGGGACUACACUGAUGUUGUCAUGAACUACCUAUGUGGGCCACAUAUGUCAGAUGUAAGCUCAAGCCACAACCAAAAGUGGCUUGAGUAUUUUGAUGUUGUUAUAACAGGCAGUUCAAAGCCAAGCUUUUUUCAUGAUGAUAAUCGAACAGGAUUGUUUGAAGUUGAGCCUGAUUCUGGGAAACUUCUAAAUGCUGAUCUUCAGGAAAGUAAAAUUGGAAGCCCAAGUUCAAGUCAACAUCAGCCAAAACCAAUUCACAAAGUUUACCAGGGAGGCAAUGUUGGUCAUCUUCACAGACUACUUUCUGUUGCUUCUAGUUCGCAGAUCCUCUAUGUUGGUGAUCACAUAUAUGGAGACAUACUCCGCAGCAAGAAAGUUCUAGGUUGGCGGACUAUGCUGGUAAUACCUGAGCUGGAGCAAGAGGUGAAGCUUCAAUCAGAAUCAAAGUCAACUCGAAAGGAGCUUAGACACCUUAGAAUGGAGCGUGAUUCAGUUGAAGACACGAUCCAUCGCCUUGAAUGGUCUCUUCAAUUUGAAGAUCUUACAGAGAAUGAGAAGGGAAAGUUGUUAUCUGAGCAUGAUAAUCUACUGCAAAAGCUGAAGGGUAUCCGUUGCCUUCUCCGAGAUGCUCAGAUGCAACAUCAUCAGAAGUUUCACAAGGUUUGGGGACAGCUUAUGAAGACCGGGUACCAAAAUUCUCGGUUUGCUCACCAGGUCGAGAGAUUUGCGUGCUUGUACUGCAGCCAAGUUACAGACUUUGGGUUGUAUUCUCCCAACAAGUAUUACCGCCCGAGCGAAGAUUACAUGCCCCAUGAGUUCGAUGUGCUUGGCCUGUAG